rnacentral:rRNA from 1 species
UACGGAGGGUGCAAACGUUGCUCGGAAUCAUUGGGCGUAAAGCGCGCGUAGGCGGCUGAACAAGUUGGAUGUGAAAGCCCUGGGCUCAACCUAGGAUGUGCAUUCAAAACUGUUCGGCUUGAAUCUCGGAGGGGGUCAGAGAAUUCCCGGUGUAGAGGUGAAAUUCGUAGAUAUCUGGAGGAACACCGGUGGCGAAGGCGGCAUUCUGGACCAACACUGACGCUGAGGAGCGAAAGCCAGGGGAGCAAACGGG